AGUGAACGCUGGCGGUAGGCCUACACAUGCAAGUCGAACGGCAGCACAGUAAGAGCUUGCUCUUACGGGUGGCGAGUGGCGGACGGGUGAGGAAUACAUCGGAAUCUACUUUUUCGUGGGGGAUAACGUAGGGAAACUUACGCUAAUCCCGCAUACUACCUACGGGUGAAAGCAGGGGAUCUUCGGACCUUGCGCGAUUGAAUGAGCCGAUGUCGGAUUAGCUAGUUGGCGGGGUAAAGGCCCACCAAGGCGACGAUCCGUAGCUGGUCUGAGAGGAUGAUCAGCCACACUGGAACUGAGACACGGUCCAGACUCCUACGGGAGGCAGCAGUGGGGAAUAUUGGACAAUGGGCGAAAGCCUGAUCCAGCCAUACCGCGUGGGUGAAGAAGGCCUUCGGGUUGUAAAGCCCUUUUGUUGGGAAAGAAAAGCAGCAGGUUAAUACCCCGCUGUUCUGACGGUACCCAAAGAAUAAGCACCGGCUAACUUCGUG
rnacentral:rRNA from 1 species